rnacentral:rRNA from 1 species
UACGUAGGGUGCAAGCGUUAAUCGGAAUUACUGGGCGUAAAGCGUGCGUAGGCGGUUCGUUAAGUCUGUUGUGAAAGCCCCGGGCUCAACCUGGGAAUGGCAAUGGAUACUGGCGAGCUAGAGUGUGUCAGAGGAUGGUGGAAUUCCCGGUGGUAGCGGUGAAAUGCGUAGAGAUCGGGAGGAACAUCAGUGGCGAAGGCGGCCAUCUGGGACAACACUGACGUGAGGCACGAAAGCGUGGGGAGCAA